UUAACUCAAAUUUGUAUGGAAUGGCAUCGUUUGCCUACGUUUGCUAGGGGCGUUGUUCCAACUGCAUACAAAAUUGGGUUA
rnacentral:pre_miRNA from 1 species